GUCGCCAACGCCAUAAAAAACCCUCUCAUGAAUUGAAAGCCGACUAAAACUCUCUAUUGACUCUCUCACUGCUUUUCUCUCUCCUCUACUUCUUCUCCAAUUCAGAUCAAACUCACUUUCAAUUUCACACGCUCACAAACACUUUCUUUCUUCGAUUACUCUUAAAUCGCUGCAAAUUACUCGCAAUUUAUGCUGGAAAAUUUUUCAUACUUGACAUCUUUUUGACUUAAUGGGGAAAAGGGUGAAAAAGAAAGCGGCUCAUAGUGCCCAUAAAGAGAACCGCGUUUCUACCUUUUCCCCCAAAACUGUUUCUCAGGAAGAUAAUCAGAGCUCUGUGGUUUCUGGUGAUGGAUCUGUGGUACAAAAGGAGAGGAAAGUCUGUGUCCAUCUUGAGAAGGCUGUUGAUGUGGGAAGAGUUUCUUCACAAAUCGAGCUCGCAGAGUCUAUUGGCUGUGAGUAUUGCAGGGAGAAUGUGAACGACCGUAAGGCUGGUAAAGGGAAGGGGAAACACGGUAAGAAGAAGGGUGCUUCUGAAUCGAGAGCUGAGUUUAAAGCCACUUGGGUUUGUUUACAAUGUGGGCAUUUUUCAUGUGGAGGUGUUGGGUUACCGACUAGCCCCCAGUUUCACGCGGUUAAACAUGCGAGACAGACUCGGCAUCCUUUGGUAAUCCAAUUGGAGAAUCCUCAAUUAAGGUGGUGUUUCUCUUGUAGUACACUUCUCACAGUGGAUAAACUGGAGGAUACUAGUGAACAGAAAAAUGCCUUGUUAGAUAUAGUCAAGCUUUUAAAAAAGCAGUCUGCAAAAGUGCCUACAGUGGAUGUGGAAGAUAUUUGGUUUGGCAGUGGAAGUGUUAUUAGUGAAGUGAAGACGGAAAGCAAAGCAGUCAAUGUAGCAAAUGGAAAAGAUUUUUAUGCAGUUAGAGGGUUGAUAAAUCUUGGAAAUACUUGCUUUUUUAAUUCUGUCUUGCAGAAUCUCUUGGCAAUGGAUGUACUGCGAGAUUACUUGCUGAAGUUGGAAGGGUCCAUGGGUGCAUUUUCGAGUGCUUUGAAGAAACUUCUUAUUGAAACUGACCCUGGAUCCGGCUUGAGAAAUGUGAUAAAUCCCAAACCACUUUUUGGAUGUGUGGUUGCAAAAGCUCCUCAGUUUAGGGGAUAUGAGCAGCAGGACAGUCAUGAAUUAUUGCGUUAUUUGCUUGAUGGGCUAUCAUCUGAAGACUUGCAUGCAAAAAAAUCAGGGGGUUCUUCACCUGAAAACGGGAGAUCUCUACUUGGGAGUGCUCCUUAUGUUGAUGCCAUAUUUGGGGGACAAACAUCAAGCACCGUCAGCUGUGUUGAAUGUGGGAACUCUUCAGUGGUGUAUGAGCCUUUCCUGGACCUGUCACUUCCUGUGCCGAUGAAGAAACCUCCCUCUAAGAAGGCUCAACCAGUUCCUCGAACAAAGAAGACAAAGCCGCCUCCUAAAAGAGGCGGAAGGACUCGCUCUAAACUGACGAAAAACGGAGAUCUGGGGCCUGCUCCUAGUGCUUGUAAUACUUCAAGCACCACCAAGUCUUCAUCUGAUUUGAAGAGUGAUUCACUCAGCUGUUCUCCCUCAGAGGACCUUGUUGAAUCGAGUACCAUGGUUCAUGGAGGAGCUUUUGUGAUUCCAGAUAGUAACUUAACCAGGGAAGGCCAUGCCAGCUCUCAAUUACCUGAAAGUGAUGCUCAGGUUGAUGCCACGCCAUGGUUGGACUAUGUUGAACCUGUGUCCCAGGGUAAUGGUGUCCAAGAAGCUGAUAGUUUUGCUUGGUUGGAUUAUCUUGAGCCAAUGUCAUUGUCAGAUGAGCCAAAUUUGUUUGUUGAGAAUGAGAAUAGUUCUGUCACUCAACAUCUUGGUAGCUGCGAUGACAAUCAAGGCACUGUUACUUUGCAAUAUACAGCCAAUUCAAGUCCUGAAGCUAGUUUAUCUCAGGAUUCUGGAAUGAAGGGUGACAUUCACUAUGCUGUUUCAGUGCCAAAUACAGCCAACUCAGGUGCUGAAGUAAGUGCGCAACCGGAGAAUGUGAAUUUUAAGUCGGAAUCUACAGUUAAUGAUUGGGUUGAUGAGUGUCCGGUGCAGGUACAAAACAAUGAAAUAUUGUUGCUUACCUACAAGGAAGAUGGUGCCAUGGAAGGGGAAGUGACGAAGCUAGAUGCUGAUAUAGGCGGUGGAGAAGACACUCUGGGAUUUGGUGGUCUAGCUGAUUUGUUCAAUGAGCCCGAGGCUGUCGAGGGAGGCGUGAAAAAUAUUCAGGUAAAUGAACAUGUUGGGAAUGGUUUCUUAGUUGGGAGCAACAGCGAGUCUGAUCCUGAUGAAGUUGAUGAUACAAACUCACCAGUAUCUGUAGAGAGUUGUUUAGCGCAUUUUACGAAGCCUGAGCUUCUGUCUGGUGAACACGCCUGGGAUUGUGAGAACUGUUCAAAACUACUAAAAGAAGGAAGGCAAAAAGUUAGGAAGAAUCAACACAAAACUGAUGUGAUGCAGAAAAUUUCUUCCAGUGAUGAAUGUUCAAGUUCUGAAAAGGUGCAAGCAAGCACUCCUAUUUCAGACUCCUCACAUAUCUUCUUGGCUACUCACAAUAAUGGCAACAGUGAUACAGACGAGAACUUGAAGAGGCUUGGUGCCAGACAAAUCAAUGGGCUUUGUCUAAAUUUACCACCAGAGGAUAAGGAAAAAUGUGUACAAGAAACUGCACAUCUCAAUGAUUCUGGUGCUGGUAUUUUCUUUGGACCAUCUAAUGAGACUAAUUUAGAAUGCAAGUCUUUGGAUGGCUCUGCUCUGUAUGAUAAUGAUGUUGCUGUUGAGAGGCCAAUUGGGCUGAGUGAGGAACAUGCGUCGAGAGAGGAUGAGGAGGAAGAAACUGAUUUGAAGUGUGUUAAGGCAAUGAGAGACGCAACUAAACGGAUACUUAUCAGUAAGACUCCUCCAAUUUUGACUAUUCACCUGAAAAGAUUUGGGCAAGAUGCUCGUGGCCGUCUUAAUAAAUUGAAUGGCCAUGUUGGCUUUAAGGAAUUUCUGGACCUUGGACCUUAUAUGGAUCACAGGUCCACAGAGAGAGACAAUUGCAUUUACCACUUGAUUGGGGUGGUGGAGCAUUCUGGGACAAUGAAAAAAGGCCAUUAUGUGGCUUAUGUCAGAGGAGGUGACAGACGAAGAAGAGGAUCGGAAGAAGAAAAUAGACAAGCACAUUCAGUAUGGUAUCUUGCCAGUGACACGAGUGUUCGUGAAACAACCUUAGAGGAGGUCCUGCACUCUGAAGCUUACAUUCUGUUUUAUGAGAAAGUUAAGCUCUGAUGAAGUUUCUUCAAGGGAGAAUUAACUACAACGAUUUCUAUAUUCCGAAAAGCUAAGGAAAAACGUCAAACUAAGCGUCACCCCAAAAAUCCUUAAUCUGCCGUCUUGUGAUUUUGAGUGCCUCCUCCCCACUCGUCCCUUCAAGAAUUAUAGGAGACCUAUUCAUAUUUGGCUUGAAGGUGCAAUUCACCGGUUGCAUUUCCUGUUGCUUAAGACUGUAAUGUCCUCUGAAUCAUAAUUUCAGAUAAAAAAAUAACAGGACAAAGGGAUUGCAACUCUACGUGGUCAGCUCAUGCUUAUUUCAUUCAGUGAACCAAAAUGAAGUCUCAUUUGUUGGGAUGGGGGAAUGGGUACGACAAGAUAUUCAAAAUCUGCCAGCUGAAUAUUAUGAGUGACUAGGCAGCAGAGGCUGACAAGUAUAAAAAGAUUAUUGGAACUUCUUGAUUGGCCACGAGGACCUUGUUACUGAAGGCUGGUUAAUCAGGUUUGUCUAAAGGAUUCAUAGUUUUUUUGUGCACAUCUAAUUAGACGAAGGUAUGUUACAUGACUUGUAUGCUUUGUGUAAUCUUUGCAACAGCGAGAUUUUCCAAUCGCAAUAUCUGAUAACUCUUGAACAUAAACUGUAAUAAUGCGGUUAACAACAAUAUCCUACAUUGCAUCAGUUGUUAAAUUACCUUUCAUACUCUGGAGGAACACAAUUAGGGAAUUGUGCUGAAUUUUCUAGACGCACACAUGAAGUUUAUGACUAUAAGACACUAGGAUGUUUGGCCUUUAGGGCUCCUUGAUGCUAGCUAUUACAAGUUUUGCUUAUAACUUCUUUUUAUUGAGAGACUCGACAGAAUUAGUUUGAUAGAUACACCCAACAUAUUGGUUUCUGCAAUAGUUUCAUGCUUGAGCUAGCAAAGAAGAUGCAUAUACUGAUGAGAUCAUGAGAUGUGAAAAGCUCACUCUUGUAAUCACAAAUUUCAAGUUGUAUUAUUAAUAUAGGGGUUUUCUACCUUAUACUACUACUUUGAUUUAUAUGCUUUACCCCAACACAUGAUAUCCUUAAACUUACCACAUUUUAUGCACUUUGUCCUUAAUUAACUCGAAGAUAAAUAUUUUGACUAUAAUUUGUAAUCUAAUGAAUUAAUCUUGCUUUGCAUCCCAUUAUUAGUAAAACUGUAAACAAGUUAGGGAAUUUCAUGAAAGAUCACACAAAUUUUAAAAUUUAUGACACAUAGUCGGCAAUCGGGUUCUAUACAUUGAAAAAGCUAAGCUUAAGAGUAUAAUGUAGAACUUUUAAAAGACUGGGGUGUAACACGUUGUGCAUUACUGCAUAUAGCCAAUGAACCAACUACUACUACUAUGAGAAAUAUUUCCCUUUGUUCUGCCAGUUGAGAGCUACCUUGAAACAGAGUUUAGAUAUUACAACGGCUUAUAAACAAUCUGCCCAAAAAAGUUAAAUAUUUGAGUUUUUGUAUUUGCAAUGUUUUUCAUUUUACUCUUGAGUCCAGUCGUAUUGUUUCUUAUCUCUCAUGUGAAAUCAAGAUUCAAAUCUUGGUCGAAGUUUAAUUUCAAUGUUAUUUGGGGGGGGGGGUUGGGGGGUGCUUGUUGGGCUUUUUCAUGAGGGUUUUGUGUGAAGACAUUCUGAGGUAAAUUCUGCUUACUAUGGGGUUUUUGAAAAGGGUCCCAAAAAAAUAAAUAUAUUACUUGUAAUAUUGACUUUUUUUAUAAUAUAUUCCCGCAUACCUCUCUCUUAUCACAAGGAAUCUUGUAUUUAUCUCUUUUUUUUUUUUUUUUUUUUGAUAAGGAAAGAAAACUAGGAGAUGUCUACACAAGAGACACCCCCUAAAGCACCCCAUAAGGGUGGUUACAAUAAGCUUCAGGUACAGAAAUAUCGAAGAAAAAGGAACACUAAGGAACUCGAGUAAAUGCUCCGCCGCGGCAUCACACCAUCUCCCCAGGCCCAAAUCGACGUCGAACCCUUCUCGGGGGGGCAAGACAAACACUACCGAAAAUGAAUAAGCUCCCAAAUCUUCACAAGAUAAGCACAAUUACUUGAGGCCACAAGAACAACCACAAAGCUAAACAUCUAAAUAACAAAAACUAAAUAGAACAGAAAAUAAAAUAAAAAAUAGGAACAAGAACUGAAAACCCAUCAAAUAAACCCGUUGCGGACAAACCAAGCACCACGAGCACCACUGGCCGAGCCACCUUCGCCGAAGAUGCCACCGAGCACUAGCAAAAGAAACCCAGUGAACCUCGAGAACAAAUGCCAACGAACCAGACGAACGCUUCCCCGCGGUGCAAAGCCCAACCAUUUUUCUAGAGGGAGCUUUCUGGAUCAUCAUCCACCAUCGCCUGGGAAGACACGAAGACGAAGACGACGACUUUGAUGAAGAGAAGAAAACAGGCAGAAGAAAGGACUGAUUUAGAAGACUGCAUUUACUAGAUUUCGAAAACAAUUUCGGGGCGAAAUUGAUCGAAUUUGACGAAAAAAUCUGGAGCUUUGAAUUUCGCAACUCAACACAAAGACCAAAAACAAGCCAUUAAUGAA